UAGGGAAUCUUCGGCAAUGGGGGGAACCCUGACCGAGCAACGCCGCGUGAGUGAAGAAGGUUUUCGGAUCGUAAAGCUCUGUUGUUAAGGAAGAACGAGUGUGAGAAUGGAAAGUUCAUACUGUGACGGUACUUAACCAGAAAGGGACGGCUAACUACGUGCCAGCAGCCGCGGUAAUACGUAGGUCCCGAGCGUUGUCCGGAUUUAUUGGGCGUAAAGCGAGCGCAGGCGGUUAGAUAAGUCUGAAGUUAAAGGCAGUGGCUCAACCAUUGUAGGCUUUGGUAACUGUUUAACUUGAGUGCAGAAGGGGAGAGUGGAAUUCCAUGUGUAGCGGUGAAAUGCGUAGAUAUAUGGAGGAACACCGGUGGCGAAAGCGGCUCUCUGGUCUGUAACUGACGCUGAGGCUCGAAAGCGUGGGGAGCGAACAGG
rnacentral:rRNA from 1 species